GCGCUGCUCCGGCUUCUGGCCCCUGGCGGGCUUCUUGUCCGCGCGCCGGGAGCCGGCCGCGCCCGGGGCUGCCUUCUUCGCUUUGUGCGCGGUGGGGGCCGGGGCGGUGGCGGCCGCCGGGGCUCCGCGCCGCUCCCCGCCGCCCUCCAGCUUCUUGCGGUUGAGCUUGAAGGAACCGUUGGCGCCGGUGCCCUUCACCUGCAGAAGCGUGUCGUUCUGCACCAGCGCCUUGAUCGAGUACUUGAGGUGGGGACAACGCCGCCGAGCCGCCAGCCUUGGUCACCUUCUUGGCCAUUCCCUCGGCGGUCGUCACUGGCAGGGCCUCCUCGAGCUCCACGGACAUGGGAAAUGAUGGCGGGAACACAGCAAAGGAGACCAUGUCCUGGAGAGGGUCCCGGGCCCCACCCUCCCCGGGGGGGCUUGUGCAAGGCUGGCGGCCCGAUCUCUGCUGAUUCCAGUAUUGGGGGUGCAGAGAAGGCACAGGACAGUUUUUGUUGAAGCCGUUGCAGCCUCCACUUGGGGAAGCUGAGGCCAGGGGCACAGGACAACGUUGAGGGCCUGAGGCCUCCACCUUCUUGAAGAAGGACCAUGUGAAUUUCCUGACAGAGAACGGGGAUGGGUUUCUGAAAGCACCACCCAGCUGAGCCUGCCGAAACUGCACAGCUGUUUCCAGGCCAGGCUGGCUGCAUGGAGGACGUGAGAGGAACAGCCAGCUGUGUGUGCUGGGCCCACUGAUCAGGGUGCUCAGGACCAGGAGCCUUCUGAGGAUGUGCAGAGGGGACUCUGGGGAGAGGAACAUGGUGGCCACAGCUGGAGUGACCGCAGUGUACAGAGAUGGGAUGGGAGCAGGAAACCCAAAAGAGCCGGCCCUGGAACCAGGUGGAGGGGAGGCAGCCCGGCCAUGACCCAGAGCAGGUACACCUGCUCCACUUCACCUUUUGCCAUGAGUAAAAGCUCCCUGAGGCCUCCCAAGAAGUUGAUGCCCUGUGCUUCCUGUACAGCUGCGGAACCGGAUGGCUUUCCGUGGCUUUGCUACAGCCACUCCUGGAAGUGCUGCCUGACUGAAUCCUCAGGGCACCCCGGCAGGAUGGACGUGGUGUACCCCCUACUUUACAGAUGGGGAAACUGAGGCUUGAGAGCUAAAGCAGCCCACCCAGCUCCCAGAGAUGAGGAGGCCGACUCUGGCAGGAGUCACUGUCGGUGCAUGGGCAUUUCUUCCUGUUACAGCCUGCGGCCCCUUCCAGGCCGGGAGGCCUUCUGCGCAGGGGCCCUGACGUGAUGGUAUGACCCAUUCUGGGAGGCCGAGAGCACCUCAAAGAACUCAGCAGGAAGCACAGUUUCAAUUCAGAAGUUCUGGAAGGCGAGGCAGGACAGGGCACCCUCCCUGCAUGGCCCGAUGACCUGCACUCCUGUUUCAUCUCCCCGUGUGGCACCUGGGGCAGCUUGGAGCCUACCAAGGUCUCAACAAGGAACCAGUAAAUACCAAAAAAAGGACAUCACGUCCCCUACAGCUAACUGCAAAUGGUGACCAUCCCAGCCCUUGUUUGAUAACACAAGCAAAGCAAUGGCUUCUUCAAGGACACCGAGAGGAACCUCACCUCUUUCUAAAACCUCCAACACAGGGCCAGGCGCGGUGGCUCAUGCGUGUAAUCCCAGCACUUUGGGAGGCCGAGGCAGGUGGAUCACGAGGUCAGGAGAUCGAGACCAUCCUGGCUAACACGGUGAAACCCCGUCUCUACUAAAAAUAAAAAAAAUUAGCCGGGCGUGGUGGUGUGCGCCUGUAGUCCCAGCUGCUCGGGGAGGCUGAGGUAGGAGAAUAGCGUGAACCCAGAAGGUGGAGGUAGCAGUGAGCCGAGAUCACUCCACUGCACUCCAGCCUGGGCAACAGAGCAAGACUCCAUCUCAAAAAACAAACAAACCUCCAACACCACCUGGAAGGGCCUGGAGGCACUCACUGAUGAGCCUGGAAUUUCUCACAGGGGACAGAGAGGUGGCCAAGGCUCCUGCACAUUUCCCCAUCUGUCUGACACCCCUUUCCAGAACCAGAAAGCGUGCUGAGCUCGGCCUCUGUCACGCAGGGUUCCAGGUAUUUCUGGGGCUCAGCAGGGAGAAGGCCAGGACGUGCUCCCUGACUCUCGGCAGGGCGGGAGAAGAAUGAAUCCUCUGAGGUCCCCAGCUUGGGGAAAAGGGGGUGGGAGAGUGGCGGGCAGAGACCUCCUCCGUAUCCCCCUCUCCUGAAGCCCUGCCGCUGUGGCAGCCCUACAGGGACUACAGGGCUCCAGCCCUACAGGGACUCUGCGGUGGGGCGGGUGUGCAGGCUCACAGGCUCUGGAAAUGCCCCAGGAUGCCUUGGCAGUGUCUCCCACAGACCCAGGAGCGCCACUAGAAACAGGACCCUUCCUCAGUCAUCCUGCAUGGGGGCUCCUGUUGCUUUGGGGGCUGCUUUCCAGCAGCUGCGUCAGACAACGACCCACCUCAUCCCCCCAGCCAGGACCUGAACAGGCACUGACGUCAGAUACGUAGACCUUGUUGCUGAACUUGUCAAAAACUUCAAUGGUGAUUUCAUACAGGCGGCCGGUCUCCAGCACCCACCUAUCACCAGGGUGAAUGGUGAACCCUAAAACAGGCAGGGGGAGCCUGAGCACUCAGGCCUCAGGGGCAGCAGGGUGGAGGAGGAUGGGACCACCACCCUCAGCACAGGGGCCCUCAGCAUCCACAUGGGAAGCCCCACUCCACCCACCUGUAGGCCCCACACCACCCACCUGCAGGCCCCACACCACUUACCUGGAGGCCCCACACCACCCACCUAGGGGCCCCACAAUUAUGGCGCUGGCCUCCUCCACAGAGAGGGACCUGUUGCUGAGGAACAGAUGCCUGAUGCCGCCUUCAGCCCUGAGUCCUGAGCUGACCUCCCGAGGACCAAACCUGGACUCAUCCCAUUCUAUCUGAACAAGGCUCCUUCAAACUUGUUCCUGUUCCUCAGUGGGUCUACACUCAGAAUCCUAGCAGCUCUGUCCUUAACACACAGCAGGUCUAUGCUCUGAAGUGAUAAUAGAUCUAUAGUGUUCACAGUAGAACUAGUCUGAACCUUCAGGGGGUCUGUGCUCUGAGGAGGGAUGGACAUAGACUCCAAGAAAGUGAUGAUUCUGGAAAAGGAACGCGUUGUUAAAGUUUGUUGAUCAAACCCAGACACAAGGUCUGUCAGAAUCUACCACAGCAUUCCCUAUCAGCCCCUCCCACUGGGGCCAACACUGAAGAAAUAAGGGGUGUCCCGUUAGUCAGGGCUGGGGCUACCUAGAGACAUGUCCCUGCAGCUUCCUACAUCAGAUCUGCCCAUGUCCUUGUGAAAAAUGCAGAUGCUUGGCCCCUGGCCCAGGCUGUGUCUGCAAGAAGCCUGGGAAACUCCAUUUUAUCCACCUG
rnacentral:lncRNA from 10 species